GGCUUCAACAUCCCCGCUGGUUGGGCGCCAUAACGCGCAGCGAAUCAGCUGGAGCC
ncrna:unclassified sequences nadA RNA